CCUAUGAAAUGAGCUCAGACGUUGACCAUCACUUCAUCUCUUACCUUCGCUUCCUUGAUUCCCUCAUUGAUCAUGCUGAUGACGUUAAGGAGCUGCAGUCCGCCGGGGUACUCCAAAACAAUCUAGGCACUCAUGAAGAAGUGGCUGAAUUUUUCAACACUGUGUCCGCCGACUUGGAAUCAAACUUUCUUGCUUACAAAGAUGUGAGAGUCAAGAUUCGGAACCACCUUAAAAGUCACUAUAACAGCAGACUGAAAAUGUGGAUGACACAAUGCCUGGACACCUACUUCGGUAGCCCCUGGACUAUCAUAGCUUGGGUUGGUGCUGCUUUGGCCCUUUUCUUUACUGCCGUCCAGACUUACCUCUCAGUCUUCCCUCAUUGAUGCAUGCAUGCCCUGUUUUCUCGCUAUCUAUUGAGUGCUUCUGCAUUUUACCUAGCCCAAAUUCAUGGCCUCCAUAUAACCCUUUGAUGGUUGCAAAGUAAAUUAGGCAAAGAGUCAUUGGUCUCGUUUCUUUUCCUUUUUCAGCGUAUUUUCUAUCUUCCUUUCCGUGUGUAAAACAAGUAAAAAAGGAAUGUGUGCUGUGAUCUUAUUUUAGUGUAUUUUGUGCCUAUGUAUGCAUCAGUAAUAUUAUGUUUUAUUUAAGUAACUAAAAAUAGAUAUGGGUGGACUAUUUUUCUAUUUUUGGAUCCCUGUUAAUGUAUUAUGUUAGGUUGGCAAUUUUAUUCAUUGAUGUUUUAGUCGGAUACAACUUAUUUCCUCAAAUCUUAAUGGUUGUGACCGAGUUCAUCAGUUCGAUACGAGGUAAGUGUUUGAAGAAGUAGAUACAGCAAUGAAAACUUAAAAUAUGAAAAACAAAAACAAAAAAGCAAAAGCAAAACAAAGUGAAAGUGGAGAAAAACCUGGCUGGAAUGUACGAAAUUCAACAGAUGCAAGUGUCAUUUAUUCAUUUUUAUUUGAGAAAAAAUAAAAUAUUAAAAAUAUUCUUAGAAAUCUAUUUAUCAAUUUUUUAUUAUAAUUUUUUUCUUGGAUUUCGUACAAAAUAUAUCAAAAGAAUUGAUAUUAGCUUCCAUGAACUUAUCUCAAAUACCAUUUUUGUGGCGAAGAAGCUUCCAACAAGUGGAUCUUUUCUGAAGAAAAUAAAGGGAAGAAGCCGUGGAAUAGAAUAACGGGGAAUGGUAUUUAUGUUAUAUUGAAGGCAAUUAAUGGAUGGAUGUAUUGAUAUGAUUUUUAUCUUCUUGGUUGAUUGUGUAAAUAGAAUGAUUGUCUAGAGAAUUUAUUAGGUGGAAGUAAAUAUGAAUUCUCUUCAUCUCAAAGGGAGUAGUAUUUUUUGGUGAAAAAGAGUUUAGUAAUUUAAUCAUUUUACAAAAAAAACAUUUUAUUUUUCUUUUUUAUUUUUAAGAUGAUAUUAGAAAGUUUGAAUGUAAUGUUUUACAUUGGAUAUAUGAGAAAAUUGGGUAUCAAUCCCUUACUCCGGUAUGGGAGUUUGUUUGGUUCUAUAAAGGGUAUUUAUUUGUUUCGUCCAACAAUCUCAUAGGAUACAACAAAGACAUUAUAUUUAUAUGAGGAAUGUUUGUAAUGUUUCACAAUGAAUAAAAGAGAAAGUUCCUAAGAUUAUAUAUGUAUGAGUUUCUUUUAAUUUUGUAAACGUGUUUUAGAGUCUUAAAUGUCUUAUUGGACACAGAGCAAAUAAUAUUUAUAUGGUUAGAUACAAGUCAUCACAAAUGGUUUAAAAGCUAAUCAUUUUUCUUGGUGUGGGAGUUUGUUUAGUCCUAUGAAGCAUUUUUGUCUAUUUGACCAUAUAAUCUCAUGAGACAUGUGGUUAUGUCCCAUAAACAAAAAUUUGAAGUGAAAGAAAUGAUCUCUUGAAAAAUAUUUAAGACACUUUAAAUAUAUAUAUAUGACAAUCUCGUUGUAAUCAAAAGUCAAUUUCAAACCAAGACAAAAUUUGUCGAUUUGUUCAUGGUUUAAGAUAAAGGUAUGAAUUUUUUUUUUCACCUACUAUACUUUUCUAGCCAAUUUAUAGUAGCUUUUCAAAGACAUAAGCAAUCACUCACUACCAAAAAAAAAAAAAAAAGAAAAUGUUCUUAAAGCAUGCAUAAUUUUUUAUUUGGACGACAUUGUAAUGAUCAAAAUGGUUGAGAAAACAAAAUUUUCAAUUUGAUGGGAAGGGGUUUCAUCCUUUUUAUGUGUUACAAUUCUUAAAAAAUAAAAAAUAAAAAAUACUUUCGUGUUUUUAUGAAGUCCUUGUCAAAGGAUGUCUUUAUCAUGUUUUAAGACAAGUUGGGACUAUAGACAGUUAUUGGCAUUGGCCAAAUAACCAAGAAUUCUUGAUACUUGUCCCAUACAAGUAUAGUUUUCUAAGUUGGGUUGAUUUUUGUAAACCACAACUCUUCAACCCAGUAAAUGGCGUUAAAUAUAAUGUUUGGAGGUUGGUCAUCUUAUGAAGACCCAAAUCACCACCAAAGCAACUCUCCAUUUUCGGUUGGCUUAAGAUCUUACUGUCAGGAAUGUAUAGAUGUUUCAAUUGGUACAACUUCCAAAUUGAACAUGGAAUCACGGAAGAACUAUGGCGUACCUCUAGAAUCUAUAGGUUAAAGAGUUUGCCUAUAGACCAUGAAAAACUUUUAGUAGAACGUGCACUCUCGACAGAAAAAUAUUUGUAGAUCUUUUCUGACUUCAAGUAGUGUUAGGUCUAACACUGUUAGCAAUUUUGUUCUUAAGCAAGGUAUCAAAUUUACUUGAGAAAGAUCAAUAGAACAAAUCAAAGAUCGGAGGAGGCGGCAGGUAUGCAAAUGUUUGAGAAAUAUUUUUUAAGUCAUGAGCAAUAAGUCGACGAGGGUUAAAAGGGCAUGCAAGGAUGAUGUUUCGGUGUACCUCAAAUUUUUUUGAAUCUUUGGCUUUUGAAAUAGCAAGGUCGCGAAGGAGAUCAUGGAUACGACAAGACUUUACUCUUCCAUCCCAUUUUCUUCUGGCCACCUGAAUCAUGCUUCUAUGAAUCAACUCUUCUAAAUAAUCCUCAGCAACGUCUUCCACCAUUUCUUCACCCCUUUGUACAAAUCCCUCCGUAAUCCACAUUUGGAGCAAUUUGUUUGCCUUAAUUUCACAAUCUUCCGGAAAAAUACCACAAUAGAGAAAACAAGACCUCAAGAAAUAAGGCAAGUCACUAUAGCUCAAAGCAACAAUUCCCAAGCAUGAGUUGGGGCCUUGACUUAGAUUUCCACUCCAUGCUUUUUAGUAUUUUCUCCCACGAAGAUUUAGACUUCUCUUUUCUUGAUAGAAGCCCUCCUGAUACCACAAUGGCUAGAGGUAAGCCUUUGCAUUUCUUUAUAAUCUCAUUUCCCAUACCUUCAAACUCUACAAGACAAACAACUGGUGAUGUACUUGCAGUUGGAAAAGUUUUCUUGAGAAAGGGCAUCCAACUCUCUUCUGGACAUAAAGGACGGAGUUCAUAGAGCUGUGCAUGGGCAUCCGAAGCAAUUUGUUGGUUAUGUGUGGUGAUGAGCACUCUGCUCUUGUUUGACUUAUGCUAAACUUGGAUGCUCUAUACAUCAUCCAACACUAUCAAAUACCUUUUAUCUUUGAGGUAACCAUUAACCUCUUUCCCCAAUUGAUCCUCAACCAUUUUAUAUUACCUUUAAAAAUUAUUUAAAAUAGCCUUAUGUCACGGACUUAGUCUUUUCCUAAUUAAGCUUGUGCGGCACUUAGACAAACUAAGACCCUUGAUCUUGCUAAGUCAGUCUUACUCUCAAUGCUUAGCUUGCUAGGCUAAGACGCUCACUACUCGGAAGUUUUAGAAGGUAUAGUAGGCAACUCUUAUAGAAUGAAAGCUUUAUUGCUUUCAAAUGAAGCUAUACAAUGCUUAGAAGCUCACUUGCUUGGUUAGGAAGUGAUAUUGAAGCUUUAUUACUUUACUGCCGUCUAGACUUACUUCUCAGCCUUCUCUCAUUGAUGCAUGCAUUCCCUGCUUUCUU
rnacentral:lncRNA from 1 species